rnacentral:rRNA from 1 species
AGAGUUUGAUCAUGGCUCAGGAUGAACGCUAGCGGCAGGCCUAAUACAUGCAAGUCGAACGGAAUGAGGUAGCAAUACCUUAUUUAGUGGCGCACGGGUGCGUAACGCGUAUGCAACCUACCUUUUACUGGGGGAUAGCCCGGAGAAAUCCGGAUUAAUACCGCAUAACAUCAUUUGAGGGCAUCCGAAGAUGAUUAAAGAUUUAUUGGUAAAAGAUGGGCAUGCGUGCCAUUAGCUAGUUGGUGGUGUAACGGACCACCAAGGCGACGAUGGCUAGGGGUUCUGAGAGGAUGAUCCCCCACACUGGUACUGAGAUACGGACCAGACUCCUACGGGAGGCAGCAGUAGGGAAUAUUGGGCAAUGGAGGCAACUCUGACCCAGCCAUGCCGCGUGCAGGAUGAAGGCCUUCUGGGUUGUAAACUGCUUUUAUCUAGGAAGAAAAAACCCUUGCGAGGGGAACUGACGGUACUAGGUGAAUAAGCACCGGCUAACUCCGUGCCAGCAGCCGCGGUAAUACGGAGGGUGCAAGCGUUGUCCGGAUUUAUUGGGUUUAAAGGGUGCGUAGGCGGCCCGUUAAGUCCGUGGUGAAAGCCAACAGCUCAACUGUUGAACUGCCAUGGAUACUGACGGGCUUGAGUACAGACGAGGUAGGCGGAAUGGAUGGUGUAGCGGUGAAAUGCAUAGAUACCAUCCAGAACACCGAUUGCGUAGGCAGCUUACUAGGCUGUAACUGACGCUGAGGCACGAAAGCGUGGGGAGCGAACAGGAUUAGAUACCCUAGUAGUCC